rnacentral:lncRNA from 1 species
AGAAAAGCAGAAAGUAACCAAAAAAAUCGUUUCUAAGCAUGAUAAACUUUUUUAUUCUUUCAGAGUACCAUAGGCGAAAGAGGGUUGUGAUUUGUUUAUGCUAAAGGGACUUGGAUUUUUCUUGUUUUACCGUCCGACUAGGACCGUAAAACUUACAGCCCCCUCACUGAGGUGGGGACCGAGCCACUUUAUUAUUGGCGCAGGGUGGCACGGCCCCUCAUGUGGGGGAGUUGUGAGCCAUGCUGUGUGUAACUUUCCCUUUUCUUGAAGUAUAGUCCUUGUUUGGUUUUCAUUACAUUACAUUACAUUCUAUUUAUCUCUCUCUUAUUUUCAACCACAUAAUCUUCCAUAAAAUAAUAUUACACGUAAAUCGAAAAUUUUUCUUUCUUUUUCAACCACUCAUUUUUCAAAAAACACUAUUCUAUACAUUACAUUUUCCCCGUAAUGGGGGCCAAACAGGGGCAUAAUGGGGGCCAAACAGGGGCAUAAUAUCUUUUCUUUACCGAGAACCUUCCGUCAAGCACUAAAAUGAGGGAUUAAUUGCAAGUAACAUGCUCCAUACUUGUUCACAUGGCUUGACUAAAAAGUUGAUGGGUUCUUACCUUACAUGAGAUGAGUUGGAACAAUGUGUCAGUGAUUGCACAAAUUAUUUUUCAAGUCAGAGGCGUUUUGAUGGGCAAAUAUUAUAUUAAUUUGUGGUUUACCAGCAUCAGAGGAGGAAAAAAACAAAAGGCACAGCACCCUUACACCUUUUAAGAUUUGGGGUCCGUCUUAAUAAGGUCAACCUUGUUAAGAGGAGUGUCCCAAUCCUUUAUAUAUUGGUCAUUGUUUCGGUAUUUUACCGAUGUGGGAUUAUAUUCCCUUAACAUGCCCCCGCAAGAUGGUGGCUCUUUUGAGCAGACCAAUCUUGAAAUCCGUGUGCUCAUUUUUAGAGACAUAAUCGGAUCGAAUCGCUCGUUGGAGCUUAAUGGGCUCUGAUACCAUUUUAAGAUUUGGGGUCCGUCUUAAUAAGGUCAACCUUGUUAAGAGGAGUGUCCCAAUCCUUUAUAUAUUGGUCAUUGUUUCGAUAUUUUACCGAUGUGGGAUUAUAUUCCCUUAACAACACCCCCUUACGUGAGGGGCUCCUGUACCUUGUAAUGUACAAGGAGAAAAACCCAAAAAAAAAAAAAAUUAAAAAAAAUGCAGAGAAACGAAGUUACAUUUCAGAUUAAUUACACUAGCAGUCACUGUACUUUGACCCAAUUUUCAAUUAAGUUGCUAUACUGCAUUUUGUGUCAAUUGGGUCAUUAUAAUCCCCCCCCCCCCCCCCCCCCCCCUCCGCCGGGGUAACUCGGUCAUUUUGGGUCAAUAUACUGUAAUUUUGUCUCUAUUUAGGCCAAUUCGUUCAAUUAAAUCAAAUUGUUUGAUGCCAAAAAUGAACUGAAAGAAAUGAUACAAUUUGACGCAAUUGAACAAAGUUUGGCCUAAAUUUAAUCUCAAGUACCGUGACCGCGAAUAAUAGAACUAACCCAAUAUUUCUUGAAGGAACUUAUAUAAAGAAGUUUUCGUUUGAGACAAGACAUGGCAUAUUACAUGUAAAAUAUCUACUUGUAAAAUAUCUGGUUUGAUAAGGAAUAAUACUGUUUGAAAUAGAUGACAAAGGGCAGUGGUUAUAGGAUGGAGAUUGCUGAGGUCUUUGUCUUGCUUUUUCAAGGGUUUCAGAAGAUCCAUAAUGAUUUUAUACGAUAGCAUUUCUUUUCACGUGUGGAUUAUUAAUUUCAUGUUUAUUCUCUUCAUUAAUUUAUUAAUAAUAUAAUAACAAGACAAUUUGAACGGUAUACUAUUCACUCCACUAUGUAGGAUCAAUCACUACUUUAUGUGGUUGGAAUAUGGUCUGUCAUCACAUGUUGGUUCAAGAGAUUAUGCUUUCCACAAAUUAGGGGCCCCUCAUUAACAUUGAAUUGAUUUAUUUGUUUCUAGCAAAAACAUGUCGACGGCGUACUCAUCUCCACAAAUUAAGUUCCCUAGUCAACAUUCAAUACUAUUUUUGUCGUCGUGUCAAGACGGAAGCUUUAGGUUUGCGGGCGCUUUUGGCUUUUUUCAUAAUGGAAUACUUUUCGCAAUAUUACCUUUGUAUUUUUUAUUCUUACCCCUUUUUUGUGAUAUUUCUAACCCAACACCCAUCAUUGACAUACACCCGCUUUGAUACUAUGAUGAAGUCUAUGGUUUGGCUUAUAAUGCUUUCUCUACAUUGCACAUCUGAAUUG